GAUGAACGCUGGCGGCGUGCCUAAUACAUGCAAGUCGAGCGAAUGGAUUAAGAGCUUGCUCUUAUGAAGUUAGCGGCGGACGGGUGAGUAACACGUGGGUAACCUGCCCAUAAGACUGGGAUAACUCCGGGAAACCGGGGCUAAUACCGGAUAACAUUUUGAACCGCAUGGUUCGAAAUUGAAAGGCGGCUUCGGCUGUCACUUAUGGAUGGACCCGCGUCGCAUUAGCUAGUUGGUGAGGUAACGGCUCACCAAGGCAACGAUGCGUAGCCGACCUGAGAGGGUGAGCGGCCACACUGGGAAGGAGACACGGCCCGGACUGCUACGGGAGGCAGCAGUAGGGAAGCUUCCGCAAUGGACGAAAGUCGGACGGAGCAACGCCGCGUGAGUGAUGAAGGCUUUCGGGUCGUAAAACUCUGUUGUUAGGGAAGAACAAGUGCUAGUUGAAUAAGCUGGCACCUUGACGGUACCUAACCAGAAAGCCACGGCUAACUACGUGCCAGCAGCCGCAGUAA
rnacentral:rRNA from 1 species